rnacentral:rRNA from 1 species
GUGGGGAAUAUUGGACAAUGGGCGAAAGCCUGAUCCAGCCAUGCCGCGUGUGUGAAGAAGGUCUUCGGAUUGUAAAGCACUUUAAGUUGGGAGGAAGGGCAGUAAGUUAAUACCUUGCUGUUUUGACGUUACCAACAGAAUGAGCACCGGCUAACUUCGUGCCAGCAGCCGCGGUAAUACGAAGGGUGCAAGCGUUAAUCGGAAUUACUGGGCGUAAAGCGCGCGUAGGUGGUUCAGCAAGUUGAAGGUGAAAUCCCCGGGCUCAACCUGGGAACUGCCUCCAAAACUACUGAGCUAGAGUACGGUAGAGGGUAGUGGAAUUUCCUGUGUAGCGGUGAAAUGCGUAGAUAUAGGAAGGAACACCAGUGGCGAAGGCGACUACCUGGACUGAUACUGACACUGAGGUGCGAAAGCGUGGGGAGCAAACAGGAUUAGAAACCCGUGUAGUCC